GUCGAAGUCUCCGAAGAUUUGUUGCGGUUUGGUGUGUCUUUUAUUUUUACGUGGAACUCAUAUCGAUCCGAUAUGCCGCGUCCGAAAAUGGAUUUUGCGACUAAUAAGUGGCGAGGCACCACGCGAGCAAGGAUGAACAGCCCUGGAGGUUAUGGGCACUGCUCAAUUGGCUCAUUCCUCGGUGCUUCUCGAAGGCCUGGUCAAGGAGGAGUUGCUCAGUGAACUACUAGUUUGAGUUCCCUGAGACGGACACCACUGACAUCACCUACAGUGCCGAGGUACAGGCUUAAUGGCAGAUAUCAAUAGGAGAUGAUGGUACGCGUCACGUCUGUUUGGUUGGACAGCCACCAAGUUGACUUGGAUGUCAGCGCCUGUUGUCAUCAGAACCUGGUUCUUGUGCUGCCACAUCAUUUUUGGUGGUGGCGCUGUCGUCACCUCCCAGCGCUUGCGCUCCCCGAGUUCCCAUUCAAGAUGGUGCUGCCACGGACUUUGGCUCGUGGGGGUGCCGUCGCUACUGACAAAGCCUGUGCUCCCCGUCGUCCCUGUUGAAAUGGUGGCUGGAACUUGGAGAGGGUUUGCUGCCACAGCCGGAUCCAGUGUUACAUUUUUGUGGCUUUUUGGUUGUUUCCCAAUUAUUGAAGGGAGUUGCAGGCUUAUCAUGGGCGACACAGUGCUUUGGUGAGUGUAC
rnacentral:lncRNA from 1 species